rnacentral:rRNA from 1 species
UCAUGCCCCUAGGUCAGGUGAAAACACUUGCUGAGUUUAAGCAUAUCACUAAGCAGAGGAAAAGAAACUUACAAG